UACCCAUGGUGGGGACACAGAUUUAACAGAUCUUUAAAACGUUAUCAAACUUGAUAGAGAGUUUCAUUUUCCUUUUGAGCGAAAUUCGAGAUCCGUCGUUUCAAAUU
rnacentral:snoRNA from 1 species